GCUACAGAUGGAGUGCUAAUAAAGACUAAGGGUUUCACAAUUCGUACGAAAUUGUUUUCUACACGGAGAUCCAUAAAAGGGACUCUUGACAUCUAUAAGAUUAUAUGAAUACUUUAGAUACCUUUCGAUGUUCUUUCAAUAAUUUUUCAGGGACAUUUUUUCUUUCAAUAAUUUUUCAGGGACAUUUUCUGAGUCUUAUAUGGCUCGAUUGUUCUUAUGCAGCUCUUCGAAGAGGUCUGAAAUUGAAACACCAAUUAAGAUAGCUCAAAACAAUCCAAAUUCUCUUUCAUUGGUUCCUGUUUAAGGUUGGGUACGCAACUAAAGAGAUUAUGCAGGCGAAGAACUUUUCUCUGGCUCCGGUGAUCCUAAUUCACUCAAUAUGAACUUUUCUCUGGAUUCGGUAAUCCUAAUUCACUCAAUAAUAUGGAAAGAAGAUGUGGACGUGGGUUGAACAAGCUAGAUCGAAAGAUGCGACUGGAUUUAGUAGAUGGCAUGUUUACUUGAGUUGAAAAUUUCGACAAGAUUGAAUUUUGCAAGUCCAAGCUGAAAACAUUCGCAGAUUGGUGUUGGGAUACAAACACCAUGGUGUCAGAUUUAUCAAUUGGGUUCUCUGAUUUUGUAUGUGUUUCUUUUUACUGUUAUAUGGUUUUUAAAAUUCCUAAUCUGGGUUUAUUGAUUGAUCAAACCAACACUACUUCAAUUGUUCACUGCAAAGGUCAUUAUCUCCCGAAAAGAGUUCAGACCCAGCAAUCCAAUAGGUUACUGAUUUAGGCUUUGUUUAAUUUGUUAUUUAUCACCAGCGAAAAUUAAGUAUAACACAAUUUCCAGAUGCGUACUUACCUAAAGGUAAUAUGAUGAGGAUGAGAUGCUGGGUCGAAUUCCACCCAAGGAGAGAUACCAUUGUCGACUUCGAUGGUGUAGUAGACAAUAAGAGUAACAUAGACCUCAUGAAAUGAUUUUGCGUUGGGGGAUGCUGAAUGUGGACGAGCUAUUGAACCUCCAACUGUUAUCUCUGACAAGUUGAAGUGCAAUAAUCGUCGUUGUGGGCAUCGAUGUGGUAGUUAUGUGGCUGUACUGACGUAGGAAAUAAAAACGAUAAACUUUGUUCUAGCUGACUUCAUUACUUGGUGUGAAAUAACACAAAUGAUGUGAAAGGAUGUUCCUGACUUUGUUUCUAAAGAUACUGCGCACCUGCAAUAAGUAAGUUGAAGAUUCUCCGUUUGUUGUAAGGCAGUGUAGGAAACAACAAGAAACCAGUGGAGUUUUUUGCUGGGGUGCACUCUACUUAGCCAGUGUAAGUUCUACUUUAAAGAAAACAAGAAGUGAACGAUAAGAGAACAUAAGAAGUUGGGGAAGAAACAAGUUUGUUGUCAGUGGUUGAUUGAAGUAUCAAGUGGAUCUUGGGGUCAUGGACUGAGAAGAUUGUAUAAUAUUGGGGAAUUCGAUAAGGACUUGAAAGACGGGUUUUCACCUGUUUUUGAGUUUGCACGGAGAUAGUGAGAAAUGAGACAAGUUUUAUCAGCUGACAAACAGUGGAUUAAUCUUGGUUACUGCCAUUGAUUAGAUUGAUAUAAACGGAGGAGAUUACAGACUAUUCUGGAGUCUGAAAAGUCAAGAAGAGUACGUAAGGAGUAUGGAUUGUCGAGAAUAUUGUUUGGUUUUGGAUUUGUGUGGUAGGAAAAUUAGUUGAUAUAGACGGUGCCUGUUGUUCUAUUCAAGUGAGAAAUGGUGAUGAUUAAGAAUUUCAAGAAAUUGAAGUCUGUCUAUAAGAAGGGGUUAAACAACAUUUAUGAUGCUGGCCUCCUGAUUGCUGGUAUCAUCCUGAUCGUUUUUGUCCUUUUUCUCCACCAAGGAAGUCAGGCUCAAUGGUUUUUCGACGGGCAAACAAUAUUUCAUGCAAAACUGACGUGUACUUUAUAACGAGGAAAACAUAAAUUGAAUCCACGUAUUCAUUCACAAAAGGGAAAUUUUAUGUUCUUUUA